GUGUGUGUGUGUGUGUGUGUGUGUGUGUUUACUCCUGAUGCUUCCUGUACACAAACGUGUACGUACGUGGUCCGUCGAACGGGGGAACCGCAGCCCUACUCGGACCACCCGGACCGCUUUGACGGCUGGGUUCAGGUCGUGUGCUGUGAGGGCCUGCAAGGAAUCAGCUACUGGGAAGUGGAGUGGGAUGGCCACCAGGUGGCGUUGGGGCUCGCUUACGAGAGGAUCAAGAGAAAGGGCUCGUCCAAUGAGCAGGCUGGGAUACAACUGUUCCUCGUGGAGUCUUUGCUGCAGCGGUUCGUCUUACAGCUUCGUCCACGCAAAUCAGACCAUCGGGCUUUCCGCCGGCGUAGAAUCGGCGUCUUCCUGCACCACGACGAAGGACUGCUCUGCUUCUAUGCGGUGCAGACUGAGGGAUUUCGGCUCUUGCACCGGGUGAAGACCCAGUUCGAGCAGCCCCUCUACCCUGCGAUGUGGCUCGGAGCGGAAGCCACGGUCAACCUCCGCGCCAUCGACUGAC